GGGGAAAUGCAGGAUCAUGGGCUGUGUUCCCCAGCGCCCUGAGAUCUGGGGCCUUGCGCUGCUGGAAUCACGCUCCCAGCCGCUGCCU
rnacentral:pre_miRNA from 1 species